CAGUAGCCGCGGGAAUACGUAGGUGGCAAGCGUUGUCCGGAAUUAUCGGGCGUAAAGGGCUCGCAGGCGGUUUCUUAAGUCUGAUGUGAAAGCCCCCGGCUCAACCGGGGAGGGUCAUUGGAAACUGGGAAACUUGAGUGCAGAAGAGGAGAGUGGAAUUCCACGUGUAGCGGUGAAAUGCGUAGAGAUGUGGAGGAACACCAGUGGCGAAGGCGACUCUCUGGUCUGUAACUGACGCUGAGGAGCGAAAGCGUGGGGAGCGAACAGGAUUAGAUACCCCCGUAGUCCCUGUCUCUUAUAA
rnacentral:rRNA from 1 species